AACCUCCGCAAUGUGAGAAAUCGCGACGGGGGGAUCCCAAGUGCCAUUCUUAACGGGAUGGCUUUUCAUUAGUGUAAAGAGCUUUUGGAAUAAGGGCUGGGCAAGACCGGUGCCAGCCGCCGCGGUAACACCGGCAGCUCUAGUGGUAGCAGUUUUUAUUGGGCCUAAAGCGUCCGUAGCCGGUUUAAUAAGUCUCUGGUGAAAUCCUGUAGCUUAACUGUGGGAAUUGCUGGAGAUACUAUUAGACUUGAGACCGGGAGAGGUUAGAGGUACUCCCAGGGUAGAGGUGAAAUUCUGUAAUCCUGGGAGGACCGCCUGUUGCGAAGGCGUCUAACUGGAACGGUUCUGACGGUGAGGGACGAAAGUUAGGGGCGCGAACCGGAUUAGAUACCCGGGGUAUCCUAACUGUAACGAUGCGGACUUGGUGUUGGGGUGGCUUUGAGCUGCUCCAGUGCCGAAGGGAAGCUGUUAAGUCCGCCGCCUGGGAAGUACGGUCGCAAGACUGAAACUUAAAGGAAGU
rnacentral:rRNA from 1 species